rnacentral:rRNA from 1 species
AACGAACGCUGGCGGCAUGCCUAACACAUGCAAGUCGAACGAGACCUUCGGGUCUAGUGGCGCACGGGUGCGUAACGCGGGGGAACCUGCCCUUAGGUUCGGAAUAACUCCCCGAAAGGGGUGCUAAUACCGGAUAAUGUCUUCGGACCAAAGAUUUAUCGCCUUUGGAUGGGCCCGCGUUGGUUUAGCUGGUUGGUAGGGUAAAAGCCUACCAAGGCGACGAUCCAUAGCUGGUCUGAGAGGAUGAUCAGCCACACUGGGACGGAGACACGGCCCAGACUCCUACGGGAGGCAGCCGUGGGGAAUAUUGGCCAAUGGGCGAAAGCCUGAUCCAGCUAUGCCGCGUGAGUGAUGAAGGCCUUAGGGUUGUAAAGCUCUUUUACCCGGGAUGAUACUGACAGUACCGGGAGAAUAAGCUCCGGCUAACUCCGUG